CCUACGGGAGGCAGCAGUGAGGAAUAUUGGUCAAUGGGCGGAAGCCUGAACCAGCCAAGUCGCGUGAGGGAAUACGGCCCUACGGGUCGUAAACCUCUUUUGCCGGGGAGCAAGGGCCGGGACGAGUCCCGGUCCGGAGAGUACCCGGAGAAAAAGCAUCGGCUAACUCCGUGCCAGCAGCCGCGGUAAUACGGGGGAUGCGAGCGUUAUCCGGAUUUAUUGGGUUUAAAGGGUGCGUAGGCGGGCGUUUAAGUCAGCGGUAAAUAUUCGGGGCCCAACCCCGUCCGGCCGUUGAAACUGGGGGCCUUGAGUGGGCGAGAAGAAGGCGGAAUGCGUGGUGUAGCGGUGAAAUGCAUAGAUAUCACGCAGAACCCCGAUUGCGAAGGCAGCCUUCCGGCGCCCUACUGACGCUGAGGCACGAAAGUGCGGGGAUCGAACAGGAUUAGAUAACCGAGUAGUC
rnacentral:rRNA from 1 species